UGUGUUUAUGAGGAAGCGGAUUUGUCAAUAUCAGGAUACACCUACCAGAAAGCAAGAAACUUUUCUGUUUAAAUUAGCUAACCCUACAAUGGAGCAGACCACUGCAAAGAGAAAAGUUUCCAUAGUGUUGGACCAUUUUCAUCUCACAUCAGUAAACAAGGCACUGAACUCGUAAACACAGUGAAAGAGGCUGUUGUGAGAGUGCAUGUUUGUGAAGAAUGUCCGAUAUGUACAUUCAUGGUUGAGUGGAGACUGCGAGAGCAGAGGCUGUGACAUAUGGAAGUUGUGAAGCAAACAAAAUGUGCUGCGGCCAACGCAAUACAAGAAGUCCAGGGCUACCUUACAGAAGAGAUCAUUGGAAGUCCCAGAAUCGACGGACUACUGGACCAACUAAAGAAACAAUUAUCCAGAUCUAUUCAAACACGCACCUGCACCAAAGUGCUUCGGGAGAAAAAGGCGCUCCAGCACAACCGUGCCAGC